rnacentral:rRNA from 1 species
AUGUUGUUAGACAACAAUGAACCUUCGAACUAUGAAGAAGCGAUGGCGGGCCCGGAUUCCAACAAAUGGCUUGAAGCCAUGAAAUCCGAGAUAGAAUCCAUGUAUGAAAACAAAGUAUGGACUUUGACAAACUUGCCCGAUGAUCGGCGAGCGAUAGAAAACAAAUGGAUCUUUAAGAAGAAGACGGACGCGGAUGGUAAUGUUACAAUCUAUAAGGCUCGACUUGUCGCUAAGGGUUAUCGACAAGUUCAAGGGAUUAACUACGACGAGACUUUCUCUCCCGUAGCGAAGCUGAAGUCCGUCCGAAUCAUGUUAGCAAUUGCCGCAUACUAUGAUUAUGAGAUAUGGCAAAUGGACGUCAAAACGGCAUUCCUUAACGGGCAUAUUAAGGAAGAACUGUAUAUGAUGCAGCCGGAAGGUUUUGUCGAUCCUCGGAACGCUAACAAAGUAUGCAAGCUCCAGCGAUCCAUUUAUGGACUGGUGCAAGCAUCUCGGAGUUGGAACAUUCGCUUUGAUGAGAUGAUCAAAGCGUUUGGGUUUAUGCAGACUUAUGGAGAAGCCUGCGUUUACAAGAAAGUGAGUGGGAGCUCUGUAGCAUUUCUCAUAUUAUAUGUAGAUGACAUACUCUUGAUGGGAAAUAAUAUAGAAUUUCUGGACAGCAUUAAGGCCUACUUGAAUAAGUGUUUUUCAAUGAAGGACCUUGGAAAAGCUGCUUAUAUAUUAGGCAUCAAGAUCUAUAGAGAUAGAUCGAGACGCCUCAUAGGUCUUUCACAAAGCACAUACCUUGAUAAGAUUUUGAAGAGGUUCAAAAUGGAUCAGUCCAAGAAGGGGUUCUUGCCUAUGUUACAAGGUGUGAGAUUGAGCUCGGCUCAGUCACCGACCACGGCAAAAGAUAAAGAAGAGAUGAGUGUCAUCCCCUAUGCUUCAGCCAUAGGAUCUAUUAUGUAUGCCAUGCUGUGUACCAGACCCGAUGUAAACCUUGCCGUAAGUUUGGUAGCAAGAGACCAAAGUAAUCCCGGCAAGGAACACUGGACAGCGGUCAAGAAUAUCCUGAAGUACCUGAAAAGGACGAAGGACAUGUUUCUCGUUUACGGAAGAGACGAAGAGCUCGUCGUAAAGGGUUACGUCGACGCUAGCUUCGACUCAGAUCUGGAUGACUCUAAGUCACAAACCGGAUACGUGUAUAUGUUGAAUGGUGGAGCAGUAAGCUGGUGCAGCUGCAAGCAGAGCGUCGUGGCGGGAUCUACGUGUGAAGCAGAGUACAUGGCAGCCUCGGAGGCAGCGCAUGAAGCGAUCUGGGUGAAGGAGUUCAUCACCGACCUAGGAGUCAUACCCAAUGCGUCGGGGCCGAUCAAACUCUUCUGUGACAACACUGGAGCUAUUGCCCUCGCCAAGGAGCCCAGGUUUCACAAGAAGACCAGGCACAUCAAGCGUCGUUUCAACUCCAUCCGUGAAAAUGUUCAAGAUGGAGAUAUAGAGAUUUGCAAAGUGCACAUGGAUCUGAAUGUCGCAGAUCCGCUGACUAAACCUCUCUCGCGUGCAAAACAUGAUCAACACCAGAACUCUAUGGGUGUUCGAUUCAUCACAAUGUAA